GGGGGGAGGACCGGGAAGGAUAGAGGAGUUUUGAAGGGACGCUGGGAUGCCAGGGAAGAGUUUUUUUUAUUUUAUUAUGAAGAUGGGAGGACGUCCGAAAGCCAUGCGCGGCUAAAUGUCCAAUCUAGGGCUGGAUGAAGCCCUAGCAAUGUAUCAGGGCAAUUGUAGUUCUUACUUUUUUAUUAUUUUGGAGCUUGUUUCAAUUCUUAUUUUCAAUGAAAUAUUUCUUUAUGAUAUUUAAACUUUGAGCAUGCUAGUUACUAAUCAUGUUUGCUAAAGUAGUCUAAGAUGAUCCAUGCCUAGGAAGAUGAAGUGUGCUGCAUCCUAGAUUAGCAUACUUAGGUAGACACUUCAUGCUAUGCCGAAGAUGGAUCUUCCUAAAACUCUUUAUGUUUUUAUUUUAAAAGGCUUGUAGCCAAUU
rnacentral:lncRNA from 1 species